rnacentral:rRNA from 1 species
AUACGUAGGGAGCGAGCGUUGUCCGGAAUUACUGGGCGUAAAGGGCGCGUAGGCGGCGCUUCAAGUCGUCUGUCAAAUGGGAGGGCUUAACCCUUUUUCGCAGACGAAACUGGAGAGCUUGAGAAGCAGAGAGGCAAACAGAAUUCCUGGUGUAGCGGUGAAAUGCGUAGAUAUCAGGAAGAAUACCAGUGGCGAAGGCGGUUUGCUGGCUGCAUACUGACGCUGAAGCGCGAAAGCCAGGGGAGCAAACGGGAUUAGAUACCCCGGUAGUCCUGGCCGUAAACGAUGAAUGCUAGGUGUGGGUGUCGAGAGGCAUCCGUGCCGGAGUUUACGCGAUAAGCAUUCCGCCUGGGGAGUACGAUCGCAAGAUUGAAACUCAAAUGAAUUGGCGGGG